CCCAGCCUCUGUUUGAUGGCGAGCUUCCUUUCCCAUUGAAGCAGAAGGGGGUAGGAUCCUUAGUGCGGUCGGGCCUGAAUUCCUACCGACGCAUGAUAGCACGGGGCGGUCUGGCCCCUUCCUCCCUUUGGGCCUUCUUCCUUCCUUCCUUCCUCCUUCCUUUCUUUGGGAGUGGAGGCCGGCUUCCUUUGGCUUCCACAUCUCCACCAGAGGUCCCGGGGGCUCUUGGAGCUCCCCAACAUCAGGGCCUAAAAUAGCCCCCCCAGUGAUGGAGCUAAGACUACGUAGAUAAGUGAGGGAUCCAGAGAGGGACUGAACAAUGGUGGGUACCAGCCUUACAGUGUCCAACAGAUAAAUUGCAAGUUUUUCUUAAUUCACUCUCAGAAUACUUUUCGGCAUUUGGAGAUUUGGCUGCUCCCUUCACCAAAACAGUCUGUGCAAUGGAGGGUAUUGGUGUCUGGAAUAGGGGUCAGGAGAAUCAAUUUCUAGUCUCCAUUUUUUUCUCUUUCUUUUAAAAAAUUUUUUAUUGUUAGUCCCAUUUUAGAUGACCUUGACCAAGUCCCUUCUCUGGACUUCCAUGUUCCCUUUUGUCAAAUGAAAGAACUACCUUCUGUCAGAGAGGAAUUGGAUUAUAAAUUUGGAGUGAAGUAUGCCUUGUCAGUGGAGCUGAUGCCUGGCUGUCUACCCAGUGAGCCACCCAGCUGCCCAGCUGUAUGUUCUAGGAAGAGGAGGAAUAAGCAUAUACCUGAGCAGAGGAAAAAAUGUAUGUGAAAUUGACCCACCCAAGAUAGCCAUAAUGAGUAAUAAUAAAUAUUCCCCCUCCUUUUCUGGAAGGGAAAGA
ensembl:lncRNA